GCUGGCGGCAUGCCUAACACAUGCAAGUCGAACGAAGCCUUCGGGCUUAGUGGCGCACGGGUGCGUAACGCGUGGGAAUCUGCCCUUGGGUCUGGAAUAACAGUUAGAAAUGACUGCUAAUACCGGAUGAUGACUUCGGUCCAAAGAUUUAUCGCCCAGGGAUGAGCCCGCGUCGGAUUAGCUAGUUGGUGGGGUAAAAGCUCACCAGGCGACGAUCCGUAGCUGGUCUGAGAGGAUGAUCAGCCACACUGGGACUGAGACACGGCCCAGACUCCUACGGGAGGCAGCAGUGGGGAAUAUUGGACAAUGGGCGAAAGCCUGAUCCAGCAAUGCCGCGUGAGUGAUGAAGGCCUUAGGGUUGUAAAGCUCUUUUACCCGGGAUGAUAAUGACAGUACCGGGAGAAUAAGCCCCGGCUAACUCCGUGCCAGCAGCCGCGGUAAUACGGAGGGGGCUAGCGUUGUUCGGAAUUACUGGGCGUAAAGCGCACGUAGGCGGCUUUGUAAGUUAGAGGUGAAAGCCCGGGGCUCAACUCCGGAAUUGCCUUUAAGACUGCAUCGCUAGAAUUGUGGAGAGGUAAGUGGAAUUCCGAG
rnacentral:rRNA from 1 species